rnacentral:rRNA from 1 species
UACGUAGGUGGCAAGCGUUGUCCGGAUUUACUGGGCGUAAAGGGCGUGCAGGCGGUUUGUCUAGUCUAGGGUGAAAGCUCCCGGCUUAACUGGGAGAGGUCCUUGGAUACUGGCAAACUUGAGGGAGGCAGAGGAAAGUGGAAUUCCCGGUGUAGUGGUGAUAUGCGUAGAUAUCGGGAGGAACACCAGUGGCGAAGGCGGCUUUCUGGACCACAACUGACGCUGAGGCGCGAAAGCUAGGGGAGCAAACAGG